GUAUUGGUGGUUUAGUGGUUAGCACGUUUGCCUUGUAUCUACAGGACCGGGGUUCGAGUCCCAUGUCUGCCCU